rnacentral:rRNA from 1 species
GUAGGGAAUAUUGGGCAAUGGUCGGAAGACUGACCCAGCCAUGCCGCGUGCAGGAAGACGGCCCUCUGGGUUGUAAACUGCUUUUAUCUGGGAAGAAAAAGGCCAUGCGUGGCAAAUUGCCGGUACCAGAUGAAUAAGCACCGGCUAACUCCGUGCCAGCAGCCGCGGUAAUACGGAGGGUGCGAGCGUUGUCCGGAUUUAUUGGGUUUAAAGGGUGCGUAGGCGGCUGAUUAAGUCAGCGGUGAAAGACUUCGGCUUAACCGGAGCAGUGCCGUUGAUACUGGUUGGCUUGAGUGUCGGAGGGGUACAUGGAAUUGAUGGUGUAGCGGUGAAAUGCAUAGAUACCAUCAGGAACACCGAUAGCGAAGGCAUUGUACUGGCCGACAACUGACGCUGAUGCACGAAAGUGUGGUGAUCGAACAGGAUUAGAUACCCCGGUAGUCC